rnacentral:lncRNA from 1 species
ACUCACUUCAUGGUUCCUGACUGAUGAAGUGUUUUUAACUGUGUGUGUCAAUUUAUGAGUGUUUGUAUGCUCUAACUACUCCUAAGAGCACAAGUAAAUCUGAAGGAUAGACUUUGUUUUAAUACAAUUUUAUCUGUUUCAUCAUCUAAGCAAAUCAGUUAAAUCUAAACAAUUUCUCAUCAGAUGAGGAAAAAGGAGCUUUCUGUCUGGAAACUUAAAUGUUAAUAUUUAAUGCAAUAAUUAUGGAUUCCUUAAUAU